rnacentral:lncRNA from 1 species
UUUUUUCACUCUUCACCCACAUAUACACACACAUAUUCAUGAAAACUAACCAGUUAUUUGCAACAUUUUGAAUCUAGUUUUAGGAAGAAAUGUAUCUGUGUGAUUGUUAUUGCCUAGUUAUUUAUAUCAUAGGGUUUAUAAAAGGUUCCACUAAGUAAUGAAAUGUUAGAUGGCUUGUCUGAUUUAAAUAACCAAACUUUAAAAGGAGCUUAUUCAUUAUUAUAUAUAAAGCAAUUUUCCAAGAGCACAGCUGUGCAAUUUUAUUCCAUUGAAACCUCCUCCCACUUAGCAAAAUAUUUAGAUAUGUAGACAUAUAGAUAGAGAAUUAUAAUAGGGCAGAGAGGAAAUAGACAAUGAUUAAAGGAUAAAUUCCAUUUGCCACAACAUAUUUUCAUGAUUUCCCCCCCAUGAAUCUACUGCCUUUGGGGUGUUUGGUGGCUAAAAUAGCAGUGAGAGCUUGUUGUCGCUGAAGCAUGUUGUUGCAAAUGCUUUAUGCCCUGCCUUUCUCCCAGUGACUCUCUUGCUUUCUUUCCUAAUGGUACCAUCUGCCACUCAUAGAACUGUCGCAGAAAACACAGAGAUCUGAUCAAAGGUCAUUGGUAUUGAUAGCGCUUACUUAGCAGGUGCCUCUGCAAUCAGUUUUAAUGAGUUUGAGCCCUACUUAUUUCUCCUCCUGCUACUGGUCUAUUGAAAAAAAAAAAUAGUUGGCAGAGGUGUCAAUGACACCACAGGCACAAACUUCCUUGAUAAGCUUUGAUUUAAAGAGCCAAGAGGCAAAACCCAAAGUAACUCCUGAUGCGUGUGUUCCUGUGACAGAGGCAGUUAGAGGAGGCUUAGGAAACUCAUCUUUGAGUGAUAGUGAAGACUCAGUACGGCAUUGGCCUCAUCGUUAUUCCACAAGGCUCACCUGCAAAGUGUAUCCGCAAGGUGCAAUUUGAAGUGAUUAUUUUAAUCACAAAGUUUCAAAUGGGAGCAACAUGAGAGAUCACCACCCAAAUUUUCAGAUGUUCAAUGCCAUUUUCAGGUCAGGAAUCCAAGCGCGGCUCAGCUGCUGGUUCCGGCUCAGCGCCUCCACUCGGCUCGCACUGAAGAUGUGGGCCAAUGUUGCAGUUAUCUGGAGGUCUGGCUAAGCUGGUGAUCCACUUUAAGUGCACUUAUGUGACCAGUGGCUGGGGACUUCGGUUCCUCACUGCAAAGGUAUCUCCAUAGGACUGUUCGUAAUACAGCAGCUGGCUUCUUUAAGAACAAAGGGAGCAGGAGCGAGAGACAGUCCAUGAAAAAAAGCUGCAUUGCCUUUUAUAAUCUAAUAGUGGAGGUGACACGCCAUCAUUUCUGCCAUGUUUUAUUGGUCACACAGACCAACUCUGGUACAAUGUAGGAAGGGAUUAAACAGGGAAGUAACACCAGAAUAUGGAAACAUUGCGGGGGGUGGCGGGGGGGGGAGGUCCUCUGAGAGACUGCUACCACCUGUGGUUUUCAUAAUACCAAAUAUGGAAAAGUUUUACUAUUUUAAUUUGCAACAGCUAACAAAGUCAGUGGAUGAAAAUAGGGUUUUUCUCUGUCAAUGAAAUAAAAUUGUUUAAAAAUUGUUACUAUGUUGCCUUCUUAAUUGAUUAAAUUGCUUUAAGCAGUUAUAGGUCACCUUCUGAAUCUCAUAUUGGUGUGCCCUUCUGUGCAGUCCUAGUGAAAGUUUCUCUUUCAGCUUGUUAAAAAACAUUUCUUCUUGUUAUAAAAAUCAUAUGGGGCUAUAUUAGUUUUCUGUUCCUGAUAUGAUUUAUUACAUAAACUUAGUAGCUUCAAACAAUAUCAUUUUUUCUCACAGUGUCUAUGGUUUGGACCUGAUGGGGGCCUCACCUUAUGCUUUCAGAGGAUUGGACUCAAGGUGCUGGCUGAGUUGCAUUCCUUACAAGAGACCCUGAAGAGGAAUUUUCUUCCACUGAUAUUCAGAUUCUUCUAGGCAUCCGGUGUCUUCAGAGAUAAGGAUAUUAAUGAGGGCCUGACAACCCUCAUUCAGAUGAAGGAUUAUUGGUGUCAGUUCGGUGCCUUUGAAGUUAAAGAAAACCUCAUCUGAUGAUAAAAUUCUUGAGACAUUCUUUCCUUCAGAUCUUUGUUGACAUUGAUCUCCUGUCUACAGGAAUUUAGUAUUGUGGUGGAGAAGACAAAGCCAAGAUAAUAUUGGUCUUUUUAGGUGAUUCGUUUUUCUGCUUAAUUGCUCAUAGUUUAGCCUUGAAAUUAAAUGACUUCACCAGAAUUGACUUUAUCAGUCUUUGUUUUGUUUUUGUUUUUCCAAACUGGAAAUGAAAGCUCUUUAGAUCUGUAGACUUGCAUUGUGAAUUCAGAAAACAUUUCUUCUAAUAUAUUUGAACAGGUAUCUUUUUUCUUCUCCCUUUUCAGCUUUAUUCUUCAGAAGAACCCAUUUUUGUAUGUUGGAUCUCUUUUAUCUAGUGUCCAAUCAUUGUAAUUUCUAUGUACCAUUGUUUAUUUCACUUCAUUUUAUAUAAUUUUCUCAAAUCUGCCUCUACAACCUGAUGAUCUAAUGUUUUGUUUACUGAAAUAUAUCUUUCACCUCUAUAAUGGUAUUAUUUUUCCCUUUUCAAUCUUUCUUACAGUCUACCAGCUCACUUUUAUUUUUUGUGGUAUAAUUUACAUGAAAAAAAGUCAGCCAUUACUGUUGUAUGAGUGUUAAAAAAUGUAUAAAUGUGUGUUACCACCACUACACACAGCAAAAGACAGAAUCAUCUUGAGCACAUUCAAAGUUCCUAUGAACCCCUUUGUAGGCAAUCUACUUUCCCAUCCUAAGGCCUUGGCAACCACUAAACUUUUUUGAUUAGAUAGUUUUGUUUUUUCCAAAAUACCACAUAAAUGAAAUGGUACAGAAUAUGAUGUUGAGUCUUGUUUCUUUUACUUAGCAUACUACAUUUUUAAUACAACAAUAUUGCUUUGUUCAGCAAUAUUGUUCUUCUUUAAUAUCUGUUCUUCUUUAAUGCUGAAUAAUAUUCCAUUGCAUGAAUGUAACAGUUGUUCGUUUAAUCCACUCAUCAACUGAAGGACAUUUAGAUUAUUGCCAUUUGUUGGUGAUUAUGAAUAAAGCCUUAAAAACAUGCAGUGCACAUACAGCUUUUCGUGUGAAUAUGACUUUUUAUCUUUGUCAUAUAAUGAAUAGUGAGAUUGUUAAACUCUAUGCUAAAUGUAACUUUAUCUAUAUAUAUAAAAUUUUUAUAAAGCUUUUAAAUAAGAGUUAGGAGAUAUACCUAAUGCUAAAUGACGAGUUAAUGGAUGCAGCACACCAGCAUGGCACAUGUAUACAUAUGUAACUAACCUGCACAUUGUGCACAUGUACCCUAAAACUAUAUAAUAAUAAUAAAAUAAUUUAAAAAAAAGAGUUUGUAAAACUUUAUACAAACUACUAAACUCUUUUCCUGAGUGGUCAAACCAUUCUGCAUUUUCACCAGCAAUGUAUGAGCCCGUCAUUUCACAUUCUCACCAGCAGCUGGUAUUGUCAGUUUUUAGAACUCCAUCGUAAUUGGUGUAUAGUGGUAUCUCAUUGUAGUUUUAAGUUGUAUUUCCUUAAUGACUAACCAUGUUGAUUUUCUUUUUAUGUGUUUAUUUGCUCUCUACAUACGUAUCUCAUCUUUGGUUAAAUGUCUGUUCAAAUCCUUUUCCCAUUGCUUUUACCUGGAUAUUUGAUUUCGUAUCGUUUAUGUUUGAGUGUUCUCUGUAUAGUCUGAAUAUAUAUGCAGAGGUAUUUUCCAUGAAUAUUUUCUCAAAAUUUAUGUAUUUACUUUUCCUUCUAUUAACAAUGUUGUUCAAAGAACAGCAGGUUUUAAGUGUGAUGAUGUCUAAAUAUUAUUUUUUCUUCCAUUUAUCAUAUUUUUGGUGUCAUAUCUAAAAACUAUUUGCCUUCUUCAAUGUCAAAAAUACCAUUUUCUCUGUUUCCUUUUGGAUGUUUUAUAGUUUUAGGCUUUACGUUUUGGUGUAUAAUUCCUUGGAGUUAAUUUUUGUAUUUGAUGCGGGUAUAGGAAAAUGUUCUUUGCCUUAUUUAUUUUAUUUUAUUUUUUUUUUGAGACGGAGUCUUGCUCUGUCACCCAGGCUGGAGUGCAGUGGCGAUCUCCGCUCACUGUAACCUCUGCCUCCUGGGUUCAAGUGAUUCUCCUCCCUCAGUCUUUCCAGUAGCUGGGAUUACAGGCACGUGCCACCACGCCCUGCUAAUUUUUUUUAUUUUUAGUAGAGACGGAGUUUUACCGUGUUAGCCAGGAUGAUCUCGAUCUCCUGACCUCGUGAUCCGCCUGCCUCGACCUCCCAAAGUGCUGGGAUUACAGGAAUGAGACACCACGCCCAGCCAGUUAUUUGUCUUUAGUUGCAUGUAGACGUCCAAUUGUUCCAGCUCCUUCUGUUGAAAAGACUCUUUUUAUAUAUAAUUACUUUUUUUCACCUUUUUCACCUUUUUCACCUUUGUCUUUUUGAAUUUCUUUCAUCAGUGUUUUAUAGUUUUCACCACAGAGGUCUUGUGCAUAUUUUGAUAGAUUUUUUAUUUAAAUAUUUCAUUUUG